GACGGUAAGGUAUUGGCUUACCGUGGCAGUGACGGUUAACGGGGAAUUAGGGUUCAAUUCCGGAGAGGGAGCCUGAGAAACGGCUACCACAUCUAAGGAAGGCAGCAGGCGCGCAAAUUACCCAAUUCUAACAGCAUAAGAGAGGUAGUGACAAGAAAUAACAGUACAAGGCAGUUAAAAUGCUUUGUAAUUGGAAUGAUAGAAAUUUAAAUACUUUUUAAAGUAUCAAUUGGAGGGCAAGUCUGGUGCCAGCAGCCGCGGUAAUUCCAGCUCCAAUAGCGUAUAUUAAAAUUGUUGCAGUUAAAAAGCUCGUAGUUGAAUUUUUGCUAAAAAUAACCGGUCUGCUUUUAUUAAUAAAAGUGGUAUCUUGGUGUGUUUUUAGCAAUAAUGUCCUUUGAAAUGUUUUUUACUUUAUUGUAAAAAGCAAUUUUCAGGAUUUUUACUUUGAGAAAAUUAGAGUGUUUCAAGCAGGCUAACGUUUUGAAUACUGCAGCAUGGAAUAAUAAAAUAGGAUUUUAGUUCUACGUUAUUGGUUUUAA
rnacentral:rRNA from 1 species